rnacentral:rRNA from 1 species
AUUGAACGCUGGCGGCAGGCCUAACACAUGCAAGUCGAGCGGCAGCGGAAAGUAGCUUGCUACUUUGCCGGCGAGCGGCGGACGGGUGAGUAAUGUCUGGGAAACUGCCUGAUGGAGGGGGAUAACUACUGGAAACGGUGGCUAAUACCGCAUAACGUCGCAAGACCAAAGUGGGGGACCUUCGGGCCUCACGCCAUCGGAUGUGCCCAGAUGGGAUUAGCUAGUAGGUGGGGUAAUGGCUCACCUAGGCGACGAUCCCUAGCUGGUCUGAGAGGAUGACCAGCCACACUGGAACUGAGACACGGUCCAGACUCCUACGGGAGGCAGCAGUGGGGAAUAUUGCACAAUGGGCGCAAGCCUGAUGCAGCCAUGCCGCGUGUGUGAAGAAGGCCUUCGGGUUGUAAAGCACUUUCAGCGAGGAGGAAGGCAUCAUACUUAAUACGUGUGGUGAUUGACGUUACUCGCAGAAGAAGCACCGGCUAACUCCGUGCCAGCAGCCGCGGUAAUACGGAGGGUGCAAGCGUUAAUCGGAAUUACUGGGCGUAAAGCGCACGCAGGCGGUUUGUUAANUCANAUGUGAAAUCCCCGAGCUCAACUUGGGAACUGCAUUUGAAACUGGCAAGCUAGANUCUUGUAGAGGGGGGUA